GACGAACGCUGGCGGCGUGCCUAACACAUGCAAGUCGAGCGGAGACAUUCGAGUAGCAAUAUGAGAAUGUUUUAGCGGCGGACGGGUGAGUAACGCGUGAGUAACCUGUCCUCAACAGGGGGAUAACGAGCCGAAAGGCUCACUAAUACCGCAUAAGACCACGGAGUCACAUGGCUUUGAGGUCAAAGGAGCAAUCCGGUUGAGGGUGGACUCGCGUCUGAUUAGCUAGUUGGUGGGGUAACGGCCUACCAAGGCGACGAUCAGUAGCCGACCUGAGAGGGUGAUCGGCCACAUUGGAACUGAGAAACGGUCCAAACUCCUACGGGAGGCAGCAGUGGGGAAUAUUGGGCAAUGGAGGAAACUCUGACCCAGCAACGCCGCGUGAAGGAAGAAGGUUUUCGGAUCGUAAACUUCUAUCCUUGGUGAAAAUAAUGAUGGUAGCCAAGAAGGAAGCCCCGGCUAACUACGUGCCAGCAGCCGCGGCAAAAGUCACGUCG
rnacentral:rRNA from 1 species